rnacentral:rRNA from 1 species
GACGAACGCUGGCGGCGUGCUUAACACAUGCAAGUCGAACGGAAAGGCCCUGCUUUUGUGGGGUGCUCGAGUGGCGAACGGGUGAGUAACACGUGAGUAACCUGCCCUUGACUUUGGGAUAACUUCAGGAAACUGGGGCUAAUAUCGGAUAGGAGCUCCUGCUGCAUGGUGGGGGUUGGAAAGUUUCGGCGGUUGGGGAUGGACUCGCGGCUUAUCAGCUUGUUGGUGGGGUAGUGGCUUACCAAGGCUUUGACGGGUAGCCGGCCUGAGAGGGUGACCGGGCACAUUGGGACUGAGGUACGGCCCAGACUCCUACGGGAGGCAACAGUGGGGAAUAUUGCACAAUGGGCGGGAGCCUGAUGCAGCAACGCCGCGUGCGGGAUGACGGCCUUCGGGUUGUAAACCGCUUUCGCCUGUGACGAAGCGUGAGUGACGGUAAUGGGUAAAGAAGCACCGGCUAACUACGUG